UUUUCAAAUGUUACAAUAUAGUUCGCAACAUUUUUAUCAAAUUAAUCCAAAAAAAUAGGCGGGCUUCUUAAUUAUUGUUGGCGGGACAAACCGAAACCCCCAAAAUUAACCCCCAAAACAAACCCCCCAAACAAAAUCCUCUCCAAUCUCACUCCAAUCUCACUCCAGUCUCUACUCUCACGCUACUGUCACUCUUCUCUCCUCUCCUCUCUCACGCUGUAAAUCUUUUCGUCUUUCACGCUGCGAAUCCUUAAUAUUAAUUAAGACACCAGACUUCCGAAAGCAGUACAGAGGCAUAUAUAGGUUAGUUUUUCCUACAUCAUGUAGAACUAAAAUGAGCUAACGAUUGUGACUUUUAUUGAUUUUGUACAAAGACAUAGUAAUCACAAGUUACUGCAUAAUGAUUGUUUUACAAUUUAUCUACCUAAUAGAUAUCUUUUUAAUAUAGCCACCUUCAACUCUAUAGAUAUCCUAUACUUGUUGCUUGUUAGUUAGCAUAAUAACUCAAGUACGGCGUACAUACAACAAAUAUAUAAAUAGGAACUACAUCACAUUUAUAUCUGAUCACAUUCUAACAUAUAUGAGUUUGAAGACAUUCUACUAGAGAUGAAUAUGCAGAUACGCUCGGCAGUCUAGGAAGUCUCCAGGCACUUACCCACACCUAUAUAUAAUAAGUGGAAGAAGCCGUAACAAGGUAUGUAGCACUUGAGUUAUUUCAGAGAAUGUGUACCUUGUUCGAAAUAUACUCUGCUCAGAGUCACAGAAUGAAGGUGUAUGAAUUUCUAAAGAUAAAGGAGGUACUACACGCAGGGAGCCAUGGGAUGGACAUUAUUGGACCUCCGCAGCAAGCUAACACUUCCUAUGGUGGCAAGAUCAAAAUUAUGUGACAUUCCAACCUGCUCAAGAAUUUCAACCUUAAAUCGAGAAGAUGUUGAUAAAGCUGGAGAAAAAAACAAGUGAAAUCAACGGAGUUAUGAUCAAGCAUAACAAGGUCUGCAUUUGUGUGCAGUAGUGUGCACUACUGUCAUGUAAAAGAACAGCUUUUAGUCACUUUACAACAAGGAGGAUGGGAAGGCAGCUGCUCAAAAAUGAAGAUUUUUAGUCACUUUUUAUUUUUAAAUCUUCAUCUAUGCUUGCUUUUGGAUUGACUUAUGUAAGGAUAUAUAGUUUAUAAGUUGGUACUAUAGUCUGGUUUCUAUGUAUCUUUCAAUUUGAUGACUCAGUUUGUACUUUGCAUUC